rnacentral:lncRNA from 1 species
AGCCUGCUGGUACCUGCAACAGAGACACAGGCCGCUGGCCCCUGAUGGAGGGAAGGAGAUGUCAUUUAGCAGCUUGGCGCUGACAGCURUUACAGGGGAGAUGAUGACAGGCUCGCAGCGUUGCAAGCUGUGCUCAGGGCGCAGUGUGUAAUGCUUGGCAAACCAGCUAUGAGAGUCUGGCAGAGCUGUGGAACUGCUAAAUGCUACCGAGCUGUGCUGAUACCACUGACUGCACAGAAGAGCUCCUGUGCCUGUUCUUUGKGGGAGAAGAAAGGAUGGAAGUCAAACGCCGGGAGAAAGAAGCUGGUUAUGAAGCAUCGCGUUACCUCGUCUAGAGACAGACGAUUGAUUCUGCUCCCAAGGAAGGGACCAACAGCGGGUGCGUUUGCAGAGCACGUUGUCCCGUGUGCUCUGGCUGCAGCCGACCCAGGCAGUGGCUCUUGCCGUAGCUUCUCACCUCCGCCUCCCUGCUCCCGUCUGCCAGCGUAA